ensembl:lncRNA
CGAUAGCAUGCUUAUCGGAAAUGUAUUCAAAUAUUAUUUUAUUUACAACAAACAUACAUAACAGCCACCAUAACCUGCAAUGACAAAUACAUUAUUUGAAGGUUUCCCAGUAAUGUGAAGAAGGCAUGAAAGUUCAUUUCAAGACCGAAUACCAGAGAAGUUACAGGUCCAGAAGUGUCUCUCCCCAGCGCUCUGCACCGUUGGCUGGCCUUCGUUCUGAGGAAAUGGGUAUCAGUAGAGAACCAUGCCUCCAAAGACGAAAGAAGUUUUACUUCCACUGCCCACCUCGAUCAUGUGGCACACCACAUAAAACUUUAAAUGAGCCUGUCAUUGAUGCACACCUAUUCAAGACCCCAGCUGCAGCACUUUCACCGGCUAAACCGGACCCUCCACUUGAACCACAGCCUACUGAAAAAAACAUGGACACUGAGAAGCCCGAAACAAGUGGCCAGUUUGUUAAGAAGUCCCAACAGCAUAGCAGCAAUUCACCAGCACUCUUAAAUCCACAGGAGGACCCCUCAACUUAUAAUCAUGCACUACGUAGAAAAGCUGGACUCGGGGUAUCAGCACAAAGAUCUGAUCGGCACAAAACAGAGUAUAACAGACAGUUUGCCCUAAAGACAGCAGCUCCUUCACCCACAUUAACUGCACAUGAGG